ensembl:misc_RNA Vault Vault RNA
ACGCUGGUUUAGCUCAGUGGUUACUUCAACCGAAAUCCCGUUUCAUGGUCCGCGGGCCAGAAGUACUAACCACGGGCGCUGUCCCACGUUUUA